rnacentral:rRNA from 1 species
GACGAACGCUGGCGGCGUGCCUAAUACAUGCAAGUCGAGCGAACAGACGAGGAGCUUGCUCCGCUGACGUUAGCGGCGGACGGGAGAGUCACACGUGGAUACCCUACCUAUAAGACUGGGAUAACUUCGGGACACCGGAGCUAAUACCGGAUAAUAUCUUGAACCGCGUGGUUCAAUAGUGAAAGUCGGUUUUGCUGUCACUUAUAGAUGGAUCCGCGCCGCAUUAGCUAGUUGGUAAGGUAACGGCUUACCAAGGCAACGAUGCGUAGCCGAGCGGAGAGAGGGAUCGGCCACACUGGAGGUGAGACGGGGUCCAGAGGCCUGCGGGAGGGAGCAGAAUGGAAUCGGCCGCAAUGGGCGAGAACCUUACGGAGCGGCGGGGCGUGAGAGGUAGAGAUGUUCGGAUCGGGAUGCUGGGUUUUGAGUGAUAAACAAAUGUGUACGUAACUAUGCACGUCUUGACGGUAGCUGAUGAAGAAGCCACGGCUAACUACGUG